rnacentral:rRNA from 1 species
UACGGGGGGGGCAAGCGUUGUUCGGAAUUACUGGGCGUAAAGGGCUCGUAGGUGGCCAACUAAGUCAGACGUGAAAUCCCUCGGCUUAACCGGGGAACUGCGUCUGAUACUGGAUGGCUUGAGUUUGGGAGAGGGACGCGGAAUUCCAGGUGUAGCGGUGAAAUGCGUAGAUAUCAGGAGGAAUACCGAUGGCGAAGGCAGGUCUCUGGGCUGACACUGACGCUCAUGCACGAAAGCGUGGGGAGCAAACAGG